rfam:Triticum aestivum genome assembly, contig: Triticum_aestivum_CS42_TGACv1_scaffold_603771_7DL
AACAUACUUCCUCCGUCCCAAAAUUCUUGUCUUACAUUUAUCUAAAUAUGGAUGUAUCUAAUACUAAAACGUGACUUGAUAUAUCCGUAUGUAGACAAAUUUAAGACAAGAAAUUUAAGACGGAAGGAGUAUAAA